AUGGAGAAACGUCUACUCUCCAACAUCUACAUAGUAAUUAUAUAUGCUCUUCUCUGGUUCACCCGAUGCAAGAGCUUUGUUGAGUUAUCAUCAUCCUCUGCCAAUCCAAACGAUACGGGCACUGGCUGUAUUCCCGGUGAGAGGUCCGCGCUUGUUGGCUUCAAAGCAGGCCUCUUGGACCCUGAAAACCUCCUUUCAUCGUGGAAAGCUGAAGAUUGCUGCAGAUGGAAGGGUGUCCACUGCAGCAGCAGAAACGGCCAUGUUGUCAAGCUCGAUCUCCCAGGUCGUGGUUGUGACCCCAACCUCUAUGUGCGGACGCAAGUGCUAGGAGGCACCAUUAGCUCCUCACUACUUGGUCUACAACGUCUACAUUAUCUCAACCUCAGCUGCAAUGGAUUCUAUGGCAUGCAAAUACCUGAGUUCAUGGGUUCUCUCCACAAGUUGAGGUAUCUCGAUCUAUCGGGGCUAACCUUCACUGGAAGGAUACCACCACAGCUGGGUAUUCGUAAUCUAAGCCUCAGAAACAACCACCUCUCGGGUGAAUUUCCUUCAUUUCUCGAACACUGCCCACAACUUGUCUUUCUUGAUCUUGCACACAACCAUUUUUUUGGAACUUUGCCAACAUGGAUUCCUGAGAAAUUGCCAUAUUUGGCUUUCUUACGGCUGCGGUCGAAUAUGUUUUAUGGUCACAUUCCAGAGGAGCUAACAGAGCUAGUUAAUCUUCAGUAUUUGGACCUUGCCUACAAUAAUAUAACGGGGAUCAUACCAAAAUCUAUUGUUAACUUCAAAGGGAUGACUGCUGCGAGUGAUCAUUUUGACGAUGAUUAUACAUUUCAAGCUGCUUUCAACUUCGGUCAUGGAUGGACAGAUGGCUACACAUACCAAGAAUUGUCAAUUCAUUAUAAUGACUUGGUCACCUAUACAGAGAAUUUUACUGUAGUCACAAAGGAUCAAGAGAGAUUAUAUACAGGAGAGAUCAUAUAUAUGGUGAAUCUUGAUUUAUCAUGUAAUAAUCUUAUUGGAGAUAUUCCCGAAGAAAUUAGCACUCUUGUCGAACUGAAGAACCUGAACUUAUCGUGGAACACCUUCAGCGGAAAAAUUCCUGCGAAUAUUGGCGCCUUGGCGCAAGUGGAGUCACUCGACCUAUCACACAAUGAGUUGUCCGGUGGAAUCCCUGCCAGCUUAUCAACUCUCACAUCAUUAAGUCGCUUGAACAUGUCCUAUAAUAACCUGACCGGAGAGGUACCAUCUGGAGAUCAACUGCAAACACUUGAAGAUCCAGAAUAUAUUUAUAUUGGCAACCCAGGCCUCUGCGGUCCUCCUCUCUCACAGAAAUGUUCACAACCCGAGUCAAUUCCAGCUACUCCAGAACACCAUGAUGAUUUAAACGAUGUGGCAUCAUUUUUCAUCGCUAUGGGUUCUGGAUAUGUUAUGGGUCUCUGGGUAGUCUUCUGUACCUUCUUAUGCAAGAGGAAAUGGAGAGUUAAGUGGUACCACGUCUGCGACGGUUUGUAUGACCGGGUCUAUGUGCAAGUGGCAGUUACAUGGACUUCUUGGACAAGGAAAAAAUGCGCAGAAGCUGAGAGCGAUCACUAG
rnacentral:rRNA from 1 species